rnacentral:rRNA from 1 species
UAACUGGAGAGUUUGAUCCUGGCUCAGAACGAACGCUAGCGGCGUGCCUAACACAUGCAAGUCGAACGAGAAAUCCUGAGCAAUCGGGAGAGUAAAGUGGCGCACGGGUGAGUCACGCGUGGGUAAUCUACCCUGGAGUUAGGAAUAACACUUCGAAAGGGGUGCUAAUACCUAAUAAGAUCCUGAAAACCAUGGUUUUUGGGAUUAAAGAUGGCUGAGGCUUGCAAGCUAUUGCUCCAAGAUGAGCCCGCGUACCAUUAGCUAGUUGGUAGGGUAAUGGCCUACCAAGGCAACGAUGGUUAGCUGGUCUGAGAGGAUGGCCAGCCACACUGGAACUGAGAUACGGUCCAGACUCCUACGGGAGGCAGCAGUGAGGAAUCUUGCGCAAUGGGGGCAACCCUGACGCAGCAACGCCGCGUGAGUGAGGAAGGUCUUCGGAUCGUAAAGCUCUGUCAGUUGGGAAGAACUACCUAAGGGUGAAUAUCUCUUAGGCUUGACGGUACCAACAGAGGAAGCACCGGCUAACUCCGUGCCAGCAGCCGCGGUAAUACGGGGGGUGCAAGCGUUGUUCGGAAUUAUUGGGCGUAAAGCGCGUGUAGGCGGUUUGUUAAGUCUGUUGUGAAAGCCCUGGGCUCAACCCAGGAAGUGCACUGGAUACUGGCAGACUUGAAUACGGGAGAGGGUAGUGGAAUUCCUGGUGUAGGAGUGAAAUCCGUAGAUAUCAGGAGGAACACCGGUGGCGAAGGCGGCUACCUGGACCGAUAUUGACGCUGAGACGCGAAAGCGUGGGUAGCAAACAGGAUUAGAUACCCUGGUAGUCCACGCCGUAAACGAUGAGUACUAGGUGUUGCGGGUAUUGACCCC